rnacentral:tRNA from 3 species
GCGCCGGUAGCUCAGCUGGAUAGAGCAACGCCCUUCUAAGGCGUGGGUCGGGGGUUCGAAUCCCUUCCGGCGUACCA